rnacentral:lncRNA from 1 species
AAACACUGAAAACUACUGUGGCGUGUUUCUUCAGACGGCACUGGUCCUGUGCGGAAGUGCCACACACAGAAGCAAAACAGCUCCCCGCCGCCCUGCGCCAACUCCCAGAAGCCAGCGACUCCUAGCAGCCUGCUCUGGGGGUGAGCAGGAGCUGCAUAGAAACAAGUGACGCUUGUGACGGGCGCCCACUCACGAUCGGGAGCGUGUGUGGGCCAUCCGGGCACCGCAGGAGAGUGGAGCUCAGGGUUAUCCAUGGGGCCUUGGUGGCAGCACCUGCAGUGGGAGCCUCCGCCUUCCGGGAGGAGGGAGAGGCGCGGUGCAGCCUAGGAGAGGGAUUCUUUUCUCGCUAAGGAGGCUGAGUGGGGCUGUGAACCCCAGAGUAGAGGUGGACCUGAAUCCGGGCCUGCGGCCCCCAGACGCUGGGUCCCUGCGACUCUCGGCUGAAAAGCCACUGACGACAAACGCUACCUGCGGCCUGCCGGCUCCAUAUGGAAUAACGGGCAGUGACCCGGUGUCCACCCUGCCGGGCCACACCAGCCAGGCCAAAUGGACAAAGAGGGCGAUUAUCUAAACAGUUCAAAGAGCCCCAGGGGUCUCUGCUGCAGGUGUGGCCAACACCGCCUGGUGGGAAGCUACAGGGUCCCCUGGUGUGCAGGCUCUGCAGCUGCCUCCCUCCCGUGUCUGUGCCCCCCCCCCCACGCACACUGGCCGCCAGUACAGGACAGACCGGCUUCCAAGGCCCAGCCCGAGCCAGCACAGGGCCACCUGGGCCAAGGGGGACACAGAGGCUCCUGAGCAAGGGGGUCCCUGGGCACACAGGCUGCAUCUUCAGAGUUAUGUUCAUGGCUCUGAGGUCACUGCCUGGCCCCUCUGCCCCUCUACGUGGACAAACAGAUUGGCGGGGUGGUGGCCUGCGCCUGUAAUUCAGGCUCUCAGGAGGCUGAGGCAGGAGGAUCGCAAGUUUGAGGCCAGUGAGGGCUACAUAGUUUAAGGCUGGCCUGGAGUACAGAGGGAGAUCUUGGCUCAAAAAAAGGAGGGAAGGAGGGAGGAAAAGGGAAGGGAAGAGGAGGGGGAGAGAGAGAGAGAGAAAGAGAGAGAGAGAGAGAGAGAGAGAGAGAGAGAGAGAAGGGGAGAGAGGGAGAGAGAGAGAGGGAGAGAGCGUGCCCUCCUUCCGGCUCCUGGUCAGAACACAGUCCCUGGCCUCCCCAUUCCGGGUGUCCCCAGUCCCAGCCCCAUUUCCUGCAAUGCUGACCUCCUCUCCCUUCCCAGUGCUCUGUGCCUGAGGGGCCGGAGAGGACUUGUUUUGAACCUCGCCUGUGUCAGGCCGCUCCUGAGAGGAGCCUCCGGUGGCCCUGGGAAUGGGACUUGUAACCCUGCCUGUCG